rnacentral:rRNA from 1 species
GAUGAACGCUGGCGGCGUGCCUAAUACAUGCAAGUCGAGCGAACGGACGAGAAGCUUGCUUCUCUGAUGUUAGCGGCGGACGGGUGAGUAACACGUGGAUAACCUACCUAUAAGACUGGGAUAACUUCGGGAAACCGGAGCUAAUACCGGAUAAUAUUUUGAACCGCAUGGUUCAAAAGUGAAAGACGGUCUUGCUGUCACUUAUAGAUGGAUCCGCGCUGCAUUAGCUAGUUGGUAAGGUAACGGCUUACCAAGGCAACGAUGCAUAGCCGACCUGAGAGGGUGAUCGGCCACACUGGAACUGAGACACGGUCCAGGCUCCUACGGGAGGCAGCAGUGGGGAAUAUUGCACAAUGGGCGGAAGCCUGAUGCAGCAACGCCGCGUGCGGGAUGACGGCCUUCGGGUUGUAAACCGCUUUCGCCUGUGACGAAGCGUGAGUGACGGUAAUGGGUAAAGAAGCACCGGCUAACUACGUG